UAGGGAAUAUUGGGCAAUGGGCGGAAGCCUGACCCAGCGACGCCGCGUGAGGGAUGAAGGUCUUCGGAUUGUAAACCUCUUUCAGUAGGGAAGAAGCGAAAGUGACGGUACCUAAAGAAGAAGCACCGGCUAACUAUGUG
rnacentral:rRNA from 1 species